rnacentral:rRNA from 1 species
GACGAACGCUGGCGGCGUGCCUAAUACAUGCAAGUCGAACGCUUCUUUUUCCACCGGAGCUUGCUCCACCGGAAAAAGAGGAGUGGCGAACGGGUGAGUAACACGUGGGUAACCUGCCCAUCAGAAGGGGAUAACACUUGGAAACAGGUGCUAAUACCGUAUAACAAUCGAAACCGCAUGGUUUUGAUUUGAAAGGCGCUUUCGGGUGUCGCUGAUGGAUGGACCCGCGGUGCAUUAGCUAGUUGGUGAGGUAACGGCUCACCAAGGCCACGAUGCAUAGCCGACCUGAGAGGGUGAUCGGCCACAUUGGGACUGAGACACGGCCCAAACUCCUACGGGAGGCAGCAGUAGGGAAUCUUCGGCAAUGGACGAAAGUCUGACCGAGCAACGCCGCGUGAGUGAAGAAGGUUUUCGGAUCGUAAAACUCUGUUGUUAGAGAAGAACAAGGAUGAGAGUAACUGUUCAUCCCUUGACGGUAUCUAACCAGAAAGCCACGGCUAACUACGUGCCAGCCGCCGCCGUAACAC